rnacentral:rRNA from 1 species
AGAGUUUGAUCCUGGCUCAGAUUGAACGCUGGCGGCAGGCCUAACACAUGCAAGUCGAGCGGCAGCGGAAGGAAGCUUGCUUCCUUGCCGGCGAGCGGCGGACGGGUGAGUAAGGUAUGGGGAUCUGGCCGAAGGCGGGGGAUAACCACUGGAAACGGUGGCUAAUACCGCAUAAUCUCUAAGGAGCAAAGUGGGGGACCAUUAUGGCCUCACACCUUCGGAUGAACCCAUAUGAGAUUAGCUAGUAGGUGGGGUAAAGGCUCACCUAGGCGACGAUCUCUAGCUGGUCUGAGAGGAUGAUCAGCCACACUGGGACUGAGACACGGCCCAGACUCCUACGGGAGGCAGCAGUGGGGAAUAUUGCACAAUGGGCGCAAGCCUGAUGCAGCCAUGCCGCGUGUAUGAAGAAGGCCUUCGGGUUGUAAAGUACUUUCAGUCGUGAGGAAGGUGUUAAGGUUAAUAGCCUUAGCAAUUGACGUUAGCGACAGAAGAAGCACCGGCUAACUCCGUGCCAGCAGCCGCGGUAAUACGGAGGGUGCGAGCGUUAAUCGAAAUUACUGGGCGUAAAGGGCACGCAGGCGGUUAAUUAAGUUGGAUGUGAAAUCCCCGGGCUUAACCUGGGAAUGGCAUUCAAGACUGGUUAGCUAGAGUCUUGAAGAGGGGGGUAGAAUUCCAUGUGUAGCGGUGAAAUGCGUAGAGAUGUGGAGGAAUACCGGUGGCGAAGGCGGCUCCCUGGACAAAGACUGACGCUCAUGUGCGAAAGCGUGGGGAGCAAACAGGAUUAGAUACCCUGGUAGUCCACGCUGUAAACGAUGUCGAUUUGGAGGUUGUGCCCUUGAGGCGUGGCUUCCGGAGCUAACGCGUUAAAUCGACCGCCUGGGGAGUACGGCCGCAAGGUUAAAACUCAAAUGAAUUGACGGGGGCCCGCACAAGCGGUGGAGCAUGUGGUUUAAUUCGAUGCAACGCGAAGAACCUUACCUACUCUUGACAUCCAGAGAACUUUCCAGAGAUGGAUUGGUGCCUUCGGGAACUCUGAGACAGGUGCUGCAUGGCUGUCGUCAGCUCGUGUUGUGAAAUGUUGGGUUAAGUCCCGCAACGAGCGCAACCCUUAUCCUUUGUUGCCAGCGAUUCGGUCGGGAACUCAAAGGAGACUGCCGGUGAUAAACCGGAGGAAGGUGGGGAUGACGUCAAGUCAUCAUGGCCCUUACGAGUAGGGCUACACACGUGCUACAAUGGCGUAUACAGAGAGAGGCGAGCCUGCGAGGGGAAGCGGAACUCAGAAAGUACGUCAAAGUCCGGAUUGGAGUCUGCAACUCGACUCCAUGAAGUCGGAAUCGCUAGUAAUCGCGGAUCAGCAUGUCGCGGUGAAUCCGUUCCCGGGCCUUGUACACACCGCCCGUCACACCAUGGGAGUGGGUUGCAAAAGAAGUAGGUAGCUUAACCUUUUGGAUGGCGCUUACCACUUUGUGAUUCAUGACUGGGGUGAAGUCGUAACAAGGUAACCGUAGGGGAACCUGCGGCUGGAUCACCU